CCCUUAGAUGUUCUGGGCUGCACGCGUGCUACAAUGAAGCGUCCAACAAGAUGCGAAGCCGAAAGGCUCAGCGGAUCUUUGAAGUCGUUUCGUGACCGGGACAGUUGAUUGCAAUUAUUCGACUCGAACGAGGAAUUCCUUGUAAUCGCGAUUCAUCAUAUCGCGCUGAAUACGUCCCUGCCCUUUGUACACACCGCCCGUCGCUCCUACCGAUUGAGCGAUCCGGUGAAUUAUUUGGAGUGUCCACGCAAGCCAAUCCGUUUACGUGGGUGCGAAAUUUUGUAAACCUUAUCGCUUAGAGGAGGGAAAAGUCGUAACA
rnacentral:rRNA from 1 species